CCUAACUAUCUUUUGUAGAUUGUUUACCUCCUCUUUCAUUAUUUUACCCGUUGGAAAUUGCAGCACAAUCCGUGAAAGCUACAAGAUGUAGAUUUCUAUUUUAUUUUUGGCUAGACACGAAAUACUUCAAAAAUAUAGGCUUCAUAAAUGGCAUUUUAGAACUUUCAAUCACUGGAUGAAGCUUUGCAAGUCAUAAUGAUAAUUGCCUCAACUUUUUCUGCAGAUAGACGGACUAACAGUAUAAAAGUCUGAAGUCGCAAAGAUGGAGCGUGGCCAAAUAUUAUCUGUAUUGACCAGAAGUGGAAGAAGCUCAUCAAGCCUAUUCUUCGCACACUACUACAGCAGAAUUUUUUCUACAUCGAUACAGAUUCUGGACGCUGGAUUAAAGUGGAAGAAGCCGAUUUCGACCAAACUUGAUGUAAGUGACACCAAAGAACUGCUUCUUCGAGUAUUAUUGGCAGCUACUGUGCCAGUUGUGUCUGUACCUAACCAUGUCAGCACGGUCAUUACUUGCUAUACCUCUGCCAAGGAAAUAAACCCCAGCUUCGUGAGAUUGGCCAUGAAGCAAACUCCGUCAAGUUACAAGAAGCUUGAUAGGCUUGAAGAACUUUUGCUCCUCAAUUUCGGUAUGAAAGAUGGCAGCUUUGAUGGCAACUUUGAUAAUCUCCAUAGAAUGGCGGCCAUCUUGCGUUUCAGUGAAAUGCGAUACACACUGACUCAAGCCCACGUGUUCGAAAUGUUCCGAUUUAACGUUUUGUUGUCUGGGAACUGGGUCUGAAUUUAACGAAGUUAAAAUAAGAGCGUGGAGGAGAACAAAAAAGAAAUCGAAAUCGACAACUAAGGGAAGCCAGGCGUUGGGUCAGACAAGCUGAUGUAGACAUUAACGCAGCUGAGAACGACAUGAAUCCUGUUACCCCUGCUUAUAGCUGGGCCUGCUAUAAAAGUCACCAGGCUGCAGAGAAGGCAUUGAAAGCAGCCCUGUAUUCAGAAGGUGCUAACGUGCCACGGGUUCACGACCUGGUAGAAAUUUCCACCUAUCUAAAUGACAGUGAGCUACCGAGUCUAGCAAGCAGGUUGCAAAAUCUAGUUGGUGAUUAUGCGCGAAUGCGCUACCCUGGGAGAGGGGUCUCUCCUGAAGUGUACACACACCAGAUGGCCCAGUCUGCCUUACAGGAUGCUAAAACAAUCGUUGGACACGUGAAAAGCAGACUUAAUCUAAGGUAAACAGAACUCAUGAUUAUAGAGCAACAGAAAAACCAAGCAGACUAGAAAGUGGACAUGGAUGAUUGUUCUUCAUA